rnacentral:tRNA from 1 species
GCGCCCUUAGCUCAGAUGGAUAGAGCAUCAGCCUUCUAAGCUGGCGGUCGCUGGUUCGAAUCCAGCAGGGCGUGCCA